rnacentral:rRNA from 1 species
UACGUAGGGUGCGAGCGUUGUCCGGAAUUAUUGGGCGUAAAGGGGCUCGUAGGCGGUUUGUCGCGUCGGGAGUGAAAACCAGGUGCUUAACACCUGGCUUGCUUUCGAUACGGGCAGACUAGAGGUAUGCAGGGGAGAACGGAAUUCCUGGUGUAGCGGUGAAAUGCGCAGAUAUCAGGAGGAACACCGGUGGCGAAGGCGGGUCUCUGGGCAGCUAACUGCGCUGAGGAGCGAAAGCGUGGGGAGCGAACAGG